UACGGGGGGGGCAAGCGUUGUUCGGAAUUACUGGGCGUAAAGGGCUCGUAGGCGGCCAACUAAGUCAGACGCGAAAUCCCUCGGCUUAACCGGGGAACUGCGUCUGAUACUGGAUGGCUCGAGUUUGGGAGAGGGAUGCGGAAUUCCAGGUGUAGCGGUGAAAUGCGUAGAUAUCUGGAGGAACACCGGUGGCGAAGGCGGCAUCCUGGACCGGCAUUGACGCUGAGGCGCGAAAGCCAGGGGAGCAAACGGG
rnacentral:rRNA from 1 species